rnacentral:rRNA from 1 species
AUGGGAAAUCAUGGGUUGGACUCUGCACGAGUUCUGAAGCUAGGAUGUAGUGUAGAUAACGCAACGGUACAUUUACAGAGAAAGGCCUGUCUACCAUGCACCAGAUAUCCCGUGCAUGUAGCAUCAAUUGAUUUUCUUGAAGAUUCGCAUGCAUUCAUGAUUACUGCUUAUAGUUGGUCAGACUUUUCUCUCACUGUUGUUCAGCUAUGCUCCACCAUCCCAUGCUUUUUCAUUUUAUUCCCAAGUCUAGAUCUAUUUUAUCUUCUUAACCGGAAGUCUAUGUUAGCAUCCGUUUGCAUCUUUGUGUUUAUGAUGACGAGAAGGUAUAAACGAGACCACUUGUGA